rnacentral:rRNA from 1 species
UACAGAGGGUGCGAGCGUUGUCCGGAAUCACUGGGCGUAAAGGGCGCGUAGGUGGCGACCCAAGUCGAUGGUGAAAGCUCGCCGCUCAACGGCGAGUCGGCCACCGAUACUGGGUUGCUCGAGCACUGUAGAGGCUAAUGGAAUUCCGGGUGUAGCGGUGGAAUGCGUAGAGAUCCGGAAGAACACCCGUGGCGAAGGCGGCACUCUGGGACGGUACUGACGCUGAGACGCGAAAGCGUGGGGAGCGAACAGG